UACGAAGGGGGCAAGCGUUGUUCGGAAUUACUGGGCGUAAAGCGCGCGCAGGCGGCUUUGUAAGUCGGAUGUGAAAUCCCCGGGCUUAACCUGGGAAUGGCAUUUGGGACUGCAAGGCUCGAGUGCGGCAGAGGAGACUGGAAUUCCUGGUGUAGCAGUGAAAUGCGUAGAUAUCAGGAGGAACACCGAUGGCGAAGGCAGGUCUCUGGGCUGACACUGACGCUCAUGCACGAAAGCGUGGGGAGCAAACAGG
rnacentral:rRNA from 1 species